rnacentral:rRNA from 1 species
UACGUAGGGGGCGAGCGUUGUCCGAAUUCACUGGGCGUAAAGCGCGCGUAGGCGGGCAUUUAAGUUGUGGGUGAAAUCCCGAGGCUCAACCUCGGAGCUGCCUGCAAAACUGGGUGCCUGGAGGUAUGGAGAGGGAAGUGGAAUUCCUGGUGUAGCGGUGAAAUGCGUAGAUAUCAGGAGGAACACCCGUGGCGAAGGCGGCUUCCUGGCCAUAUCCUGACGCUGAGGUGCGAAAGCUAGGGGAGCGAACGGGAUUAGAAACCCCCGUAGUCC